UGGGGGAGAGCUCAGCUGCUUCUCCCCUUCCCCACAGGCCUCUGCAGAUGGCUGGGGGCGCCCGGUGUCCCAGCAUACAGGGCUUCCGUGUCCUCCUGCCUGUCUGCAGUGCUCAGCUGGGCUCCUGGCAAAGCCUUCCCCCAUGUUCACCGACACCUAGUCAAGACCAUGUGGAGAGGGAGGAGAGAGAAGAGACAGGUGGUGACACCCAGUUCGACACCCCUUCUGGGCAGAACAGGUGCUGAGCCCCAGGCCUACCGGUGCCAAUGACAAGGCUGACGGGGGCACCUGGGAUGGGAUUCAAGAUGGCGGCUGCCUGGGCAAGACCCCCUCUGCCCACACAUCCCAACAGCGCACUCGGUGUCCACAGACUCUAGAAGCCUGGCCUGCCUCUCUAAGCAUCUCUGUGUUGGUUACAAAGAACCAAAUAAAGUUGCCAAUCCAAGUUUUUAAA